rnacentral:rRNA from 1 species
UACGUAGGGUGCGAGCGUUAAUCGGAAUUACUGGGCGUAAAGCGUGCGCAGGCGGUGAGCUGUGUCCGAUGUGAAAGCCCCGGGCUUAACCUGGGAAUGGCAUUGGAAACUGGCUCGCUGGAGUGUGGCAGAGGGGGGUGGAAUUCCGCGUGUAGCAGUGAAAUGUGUAGAGAUGCGGAGGAACACCGAUGGCGAAGGCAGCCCCCCUGGGCUAACACUGACGCUCAGGCACGAAAGCGUGGGGAGCAAACAGG